GUGAGGAAUAUUGGUCAAUGGGCGGGAGCCUGAACCAGCCAAGUCGCGUGAAGGAAGAAGGAUCUAUGGUUCGUAAACUUCUUUUGCAGGGGAAUAAAGUGCAGGACGUGUCCUGUUUUGUAUGUACCCUGAGAAUAAGGAUCGGCUAACUCCGUGCCAGCAGCCGCGGUAAUACGGAGGAUCCGAGCGUUAUCCGGAUUUAUUGGGUUUAAAGGGUGCGUAGGUGGUUUGAUAAGUCAGCGGUGAAAGUUUGCAGCUUAACUGUAAAAAUGCCGGUGAAACUGUCGGACUUGAGUGUAAAUGAGGUAGGCAGAAUGCGUGGUGUAGCGGUGAAAUGCAUAGAUAUCACGCAGAACUCCGAUUGCGAAGGCAGCUUACUAAGCUACAACUGACACUGAAGCACGAAAGCGUGGGGAUCAAACAGGAUUAGAAACCCGGGUAGUCC
rnacentral:rRNA from 1 species